rnacentral:rRNA from 1 species
CAANGUAUGCUUUGGAAACUGUUAGACUUGAGUGCAGAAGGGGAGAGUGGAAUUCCAUGUGUAGCGGUGAAAUGCGUAGAUAUAUGGAGGAACACCGGUGGCGAAAGCGGCUCUCUGGUCUGUCACUGACGCUGAGGCUCGAAAGCGUGGGUAGCGAACAGGAUUAGAUACCCUGGUAGUCCACGCCGUAAACGCUGAGUGCUAGGUGUUAGGUCCUUUCCGGGACUUAGUGCCGAUGCUAACGCAUUAAGCACUCCGCCUGGGGAGUACGACCGCAAGGUUGAAACUCAAAGGAAUUGACGGGGGCCCGCACAAGCGGUGGAGCAUGUGGUUUAAUUCGAAGCAACGCGAAGAACCUUACCAGGUCUUGACAUCCCGAUGCCCGCUCUAGAGAUAGAGUUUUUCUUCGGAACAUCGGAGACAGGUGGUGCAUGGUUGUCGUCAGCUCGUGUCGUGAGAUGUUGGGUUAAGUCCCGCAACGAGCGCAACCCUUAUUGUUAGUUGCCAUCAUUAAGUUGGGCACUCUAGCGAGACUGCCGGUAAUAAACCGGAGGAAGGUGGGGAUGACGUCAAAUCAUCAUGCCCCUUAUGACCUGGGCUACACACGUGCUACAAUGGUUGGUACAACGAGUCGCAAGCCGGUGACGGCAAGCUAAUCUCUGAAAGCCAAUCUCAGUUCGGAUUGUAGGCUGCAACUCGCCUACAUGAAGUCGGAAUCGCUAGUAAUCGCGGAUCAGCACGCCGCGGUGAAUACGUUCCCGGGCCUUGUACACACCGCCCGUCACACCACGAGAGUUUGUAACACCCAAAG